rnacentral:rRNA from 1 species
GUGGGGAAUAUUGGGCAAUGGGCGAAAGCCUGACCCAGCAACGCCGCGUGAGGGAAGAAGGCCUUCGGGUUGUAAACCUCUGUCCUUGGUGACGAAAAAAAUGACGGUAGCCAAGGAGGAAGCCCCGGCUAACUACGUGCCAGCAGCCGCGGUAAUACGUAGGGGGCGAGCGUUGUCCGGAAUUACUGGGCGUAAAGGGUGCGUAGGUGGCCUUUUAAGUUGGAUGUGAAAUACCCGGGCUUAACUUGGGGGGUGCAUCUAAUACUGGAGGGCUAGAGUGCAGGAGAGGGAAGCGGAAUUCCUAGUGUAGCGGUGAAAUGCGUAGAUAUUAGGAGGAACACCAGUGGCGAAGGCGGCUUUCUGGACUGUAACUGACACUGAGGCACGAAAGCGUGGGGAACAAACAGGAUUAGAAACCCUGGUAGUCC